UUGAUGAACGCUAGCUACAGGCUUAACACAUGCAAGUCGAGCGUCAUCAGGAAGAAAGCUUGCUUUCUUUGCUGGCGACCGGCGCACGGGUGAGUAACACGUAUCCAACCUGCCCUUUACUCGGGGAUAGCCUUUCGAAAGAAAGAUUAAUACCCGAUGGCAUAAUGAUUCCGCAUGGUUUCAUUAUUAAAGGAUUCCGGUAAAGGAUGGGGAUGCGUUCCAUUAGGUUGUUGGUGAGGUAACGGCUCACCAAGCCUUCGAUGGAUAGGGGUUCUGAGAGGAAGGUCCCCCACAUUGGAACUGAGACACGGUCCAAACUCCUACGGGAGGCAGCAGUGAGGAAUAUUGGUCAAUGGGCGCUAGCCUGAACCAGCCAAGUAGCGUGAAGGAUGAAGGCUCUAUGGGUCGUAAACUUCUUUUAUAUAAGAAUAAAGUGCAGUAUGUAUACUGUUUUGUAUGUAUUAUAUGAAUAAGGAUCGGCUAACUCCGUGCCAGCAGCCGCGGUAAUACGGAGGAUCCGAGCGUUAUCCGGAUUUAUUGGGUUUAAAGGGAGCGUAGGUGGACUGGUAAGUCAGUUGUGAAAGUUUGCGGCUCAACCGUAAAAUUGCAGUUGAUACUGUCAGUCUUGAGUACAGUAGAGGUGGGCGGAAUUCGUGGUGUAGCGGUGAAAUGCUUAGAUAUCACGAAGAACUCCGAUUGCGAAGGCAGCUCACUGGACUGCAACUGACACUGAUGCUCGAAAGUGUGGGUAUCAAACAGGAUUAGAUACCCUGGUAGUCCACACAGUAAACGAUGAAUACUCGCUGUUUGCGAUAUACAGUAAGCGGCCAAGCGAAAGCAUUAAGUAUUCCACCUGGGGAGUACGCCGGCAACGGUGAAACUCAAAGGAAUUGACGGGGGCCCGCACAAGCGGAGGAACAUGUGGUUUAAUUCGAUGAUACGCGAGGAACCUUACCCGGGCUUAAAUUGCAGUGGAAUGAUGUGGAAACAUGUCAGUGAGCAAUCACCGCUGUGAAGGUGCUGCAUGGUUGUCGUCAGCUCGUGCCGUGAGGUGUCGGCUUAAGUGCCAUAACGAGCGCAACCCUUAUCUUUAGUUACUAACAGGUUAUGCUGAGGACUCUAGAGAGACUGCCGUCGUAAGAUGUGAGGAAGGUGGGGAUGACGUCAAAUCAGCACGGCCCUUACGUCCGGGGCUACACACGUGUUACAAUGGGGGGUACAGAAGGCAGCUAGCGGGUGACCGUAUGCUAAUCCCAAAAGCCUCUCUCAGUUCGGAUCGAAGUCUGCAACCCAACUUCGUGAAGCUGGAUUCGCUAGUAAUCGCGCAUCAGCCACGGCGCGGUGAAUACGUUCCCGGGCCUUGUACACACCGCCCGUCAAGCCAUGGGAGCCGGGGGUACCUGAAGUACGUAACCGCAAGGAUCGUCCUAGGGUAAAAC
rnacentral:rRNA from 1 species